GCAUAUUCUCUUCCCCCUUCUCUCACCUUCCCUUCGUUUCCUUUCGAAGAGGGGUAUUAGGCGGGGGUUUGGAGGUGAAAGAGCGGCUGCGAUCAUGGCCUCAUCUUCAACGGUCUCUGUGGAAGAGGGGUUGGAGGAACUAACCCUGACCGUCCGAUGGAGCGGCAAGGAAUACACGGUCCGCGUCUGCGCCGACGACAGCGUUGGCGAACUGAAGCGCCGUAUCUGCGAGGCUACCAACGUUCUUCCCAAGCGUCAAAAGCUCCUCUACCCCAAACUCGGCCCUAAGCUCGCGGACGACUCGCUCCUUCUUUCCCAACUCAACCUCAAAUCCUCUCUCAAGAUGACUAUGAUCGGUACUGUGGAAGAUGAUAUUAUCGUGGACCAAGUGGAUGCUCCGGAGAUAGUUGAUGAUUUUGAACUUGGGCAAGAUGAAGUUGUUGACAUUAAAGAUAAAGAGGUCAACAAGCAGAAAUUAAGGCGCCGAGUUAAUCAAUACAAGAUCGAACUUCUUCAUCCAUGUCGCAGCGGAAAGAAGCUUCUUGUUCUGGACAUCGACUACACUCUAUUCGAUCACCGGUCCACAGCUGAGAACCCACUUGAGCUUAUGCGGCCAUAUCUUCAUGAGUUUUUGUCUGCUGUUUAUGCUGAGUAUGAUAUCAUUAUAUGGUCCGCAACCAGUAUGAAAUGGGUUGAAUUGAAGAUGGGUCAGCUGGGGGUUCUCAAUAAUCCCGACUACAAGAUAACAGCUCUUCUUGAUCACUUAGCCAUGAUUACGGUGCAAACUGAUUCUCGGAUAUUCGAUUGCAAACCACUUGGCUUGAUAUGGGCUCAAUUUCCAGAGUACUACGAUUCAAGAAAUACCAUAAUGUUUGAUGACCUCCGGAGGAAUUUUGUGAUGAACCCACAGAACGGUCUGACAAUCAGGCCUUUCAGGAAAGCCCAUUUGAACCGUGGCAGUGAUCGUGAGCUGGUGAAGCUCACACAGUAUUUGCUUGCUAUAGCCGAACUCUCCGACCUAAGUCAACUUGAUCAUAGUAAUUGGGAGUCGUUUUCAGAGGACAACGAUGCUAAGCGGCGCAGACACAGUUGAAUAGACGUGAGAGGUUAGAAGGCCAAAAUACAAUUUCACCAAAUUUAUUGGCUAGGGUGCAUCCUAUUUAUGACCAUCAAAACCAUGGACCCUCUUGUGGAUGAAACGUAGCUGGAAGAUAUCAAUGAUAAGAUGAUCUCAGCCUUAGAAAUCACCUGUCACUUUCGGACCUGUGAUCAUUUUCUAUUUUAACGUCCAUUUGAGUAUGACAACUUAGUUUGUAAGAAACACAGUUGUGUAGAUCUAUGUGGGCUGUAUGGAUGGAUAGUAAAUGCUUUGCUAGUGGACAUCUUUCUACUGUAAAUAUGAGACAACUGUCAGUGAUUUGUGGCUUUUUAUUA